GGAACAGAAGCUCCAUGGGGGAGGGACUGGUCCAUCUUGUUCACCCUGGCGGCUCCAUGCCUUCCUUCUCCAGUGUCUAACAGGCUCACAAUGCAGUGACUAUUGUGGAAUGAACAAGUGAGUUUGGGUGGCCCCAGGGCUGCGGUGCUGAUGUCACUAGAGUGUGGUGGGAAGCUAUCACUCACCUCGCAGGUGGGAGAGGUGAUGUUGGGGGAUGUGGCUCCUUUGAAAUAUCCGCCUGUUCUGGUCGGCCGGUGCGGUGGCUCACACCUGUGAUCCCAGCACUUUGGGAAGCCGAGGUGGGUGGAUCAUGAGGUCAGAAGAUCGAGACCAUCCUGGCCAACGUGGUGAAACCCCGUCUCUACUAAAAAUACAAAAAUUAGCCGGGCGUGGUGGCACACACCUGUAAUCCCAGCUACUCAGGAGGCUGAAGCAGGAGAAUCACUUGAACCUGGGAGGCGGAGGUUGCUGUGAGCCGAGAUUGCGCCACUGCAUUCCAGGCUGGGCGACAGAGCGAGACUCAAUCUCAAAAAAAUUGUGCCUGUUCUUUCCUCUGGAGACGGGUAGAGCAGCCUCACAGGGUACGGCCAGGAGGGAGGCACCCCGUGGAAGAGGCAUCUCAGGCACGGUCUCGGGAAGGAUCGUGGUUGUGCCAGAAGGAUUGUUUCCUCCAGCCUACUCCUGAACCUGGAAACCAGCAGCUGCUCUCUCAAUCAAGGAGAAAGAAAGUAGAGGCCGCACCUUCCUUACGUGGUGCUCAUGGAUUCAGGGAAGAAACCCAAAUCAUGACAUGAAGAUGAAGAAACAGGCACAGUGAUGGCAGGUGACUUGUUCAAAGAGCUAGACCAGCUCAAGGCCUACGUUCUUUACCACUGAGGCCUGUGUGUCUCUUAGAGUCUGCUGCACCUUGCUGGAGGUCCACUCCAGGCCCUGUUUGCGUGGGUAUCACCAGCGGAGGCUGCAGAACAGAAAGAUUGCUGCCUGGCCCUUCCUCUGGAAGCUUCAUCCCAGAGGGGCACUAGCCUGAUGCCAACCAGAGCUCUCCUGUAUGAGAGAUGCCCUGCCCAGUGAGGAGGACUCUAGAGAGGCAGUCUGGCCACAGCCGCUUUGCAGUCCUGUGCACAUCCAGUACUUCCUAAAAGAGCAGAUGGGACCAUAGCAAGAAUCUCUUUGCUGCCCGACACAUGAGAAGCGGCCUGCCCAGCUGGCACUUGCUCUCCUACAACCAGCCUCAACAAGGCAUCGAGCUGCCUGCACCAGUGACAGCAAAGCAGCACCUGCCUGUCUGCAGCUCAGGGAUUUUCUCUCGCCCUCAGUCGUACAGCCUUAGCCUUCCAGCACAGAAAAAUGGAUCUGUGGCAGUCAUGGUUCCUGGACUUCUAGAAAUGACUAUAUUCCAGGAGAUGCAGAAAUGCUACUGAACAUGGAUGUGCAGCACCACAGAAAACCUAUGUGGGAUCCUGAUCACCAGUGGAAGCCCGGCUCCUUAGAGAGCUAAGAUGGAACAAAGAAAAUUCCCAGGCCCGGGAACCACCAGAGGUACUACCUUAUUUGCUCAAAAGGUAGGUUAUGCCCAUAAGGGGCAGACCACGCAUGGCUCUACCUCUCUCUCUCUCUCUACACACACACACACUCUCUCUCUCUCUCUCUCUCUCCUGCUUUUAUUGUGCCAUUUUGGAUCUGUAGGAACUUGGGCUUGAAGAGCUACAUGAUCUGAAAUUCAGCAUGUAUCAGCUAGUAGGUUUAGGUUAUGUCCCGAGAGGGAUGUGCCUCCAGGUGGCUGUGACCUCACUUUCACAGUUCAUGCAGAGGAAAGUCAUCCUUGUGGUCCUGGGAGAGCUGGUCUGUUGCUGCCCAGGUUUGCCUGCACUGCCAGCAUGGCUCUCACAGCCCCCCAAAUUGUUUUCCUCUGAAAGGUUCAAAUCUUGACUCUGAAACAGACCUCAUAAUGAAACACCUAUGGGAAAAGUCUAUUCUCUGGCCUCUUUCCUGAGCUCAAUAAUGUUUAAUUUUUAAAAGCGGGGGAGGGAGGGAGGGAAAGAAGAAGUCUCUGAUAUUUCUCCAGUGCACUUGGCUCUCAUAGAUGGCCUUGGCCAAAACUCACCACCAGCGAUUGUGCCAGAACACCUGGUUUGAAUUCUGGCUGCCAUGCUGCUUCAUUUAAUGAGAUGGUCCCAACUUACUUUACUAUUUAAAAAGAAUUUGAGGCCAGAUGCAGUGGCUCAUGCUUUUAAUCUCAGCACUUUAGGAGGCCGAGGUGGGCUGAUCAUGAGGUC
rnacentral:lncRNA from 10 species